UGGGCGGCGAGCGGCGGACGGGUGAGUAAUGCUUGGGAAUAUGCCUUAUGGUGGGGGACAACAGUUGGAAACGACUGCUAAUACCGCAUGAUGUCUACGGACCAAAGUGGGGGACCUUCGGGCCUCACGCCAUAAGAUUAGCCCAAGUGGGAUUAGCUAGUUGGUGAGGUAAUGGCUCACCAAGGCGACGAUCCCUAGCUGGUUUGAGAGGAUGAUCAGCCACACUGGGACUGAGACACGGCCCAGACUCCUACGGGAGGCAGCAGUGGGGAAUAUUGCACAAUGGGCGCAAGCCUGAUGCAGCCAUGCCGCGUGUGUGAAGAAGGCCUUCGGGUUGUAAAGCACUUUCAGUAAGGAGGAAAGGUUAACUG
rnacentral:rRNA from 1 species